rnacentral:rRNA from 1 species
CGCGUAGGCGGUUUUUUAAGUCAGAUGUGUAAUCCCCGGGCUCAACCUGGGAACUGCAUCUGAGACUGGAAGGCUAGAGUACUGGAGAGGGUGGUGGAAUUCCUCGUGUAGCGGUGAAAUGCGUAGAGAUGAGGAGGAACACCAGUGGCGAAGGCGGCCACCUGGACAGUAACUGACGCUGAGGCGCGAAAGUGUGGGUAGCAAACAGGAUUAGAUACCCUGGUAGUCCACGCUGUAAACGAUGAACACUUGGUGUGGAGGGAGUUGACCCCUUCCGUGCCGGAGCUAACGCGUUAAGUGUUCCGCCUGGGGAGUACGGUCGCAAGGCUGAA